rnacentral:lncRNA from 1 species
AAUGAGCCUACAAUUAGGCCGUGCUUAAAAAAUGGGCUAGAGGAUACAAAAGUACCUUAUUGGGCUAAGCUCACAAUGAAAUGGGCCUACAAUUAGGUAGCCAUGUCACCAUCCAAGUUGGCUAUCCACAUACCAACAUAUAAAUCAUCUCCAGGGUAGCUAUGGGUACCACUGUACCAGUAAUAGCAUAACGACUACUAUUUCUACAUUGUGGCUGCUGUGAGAUGGGUAGUUCCCCGUCCCGUACGUGUGUGAGGACAACGGGGUCUCGAUCAACAGUGACAGGCCAAGCGAGCCGGGACGCUGGACCCAAGUGUGGACUCUGGCUC